CACCGAAUGCAAUGUCUUACACAGUAAAUCAAAGACAACCUGGUGACUUCCGGGCAGGCCUCCCCUAUUCUUGGCAGCCCUGUUCCCUUUCCCCCACAUAGAUUCUCUGCAUAGUAGCCAGUGAUCCUGGAAACAAGUCAGAAUCCUUCAUUCCUAUCUUUAAACCUGGUAACCUGCCUACGAACCCCGCCUGACCUGUCCGGACCCGAGGCUCUGCCACAUCUCUAUCCGCUCUCCCUCUGUCCCUGUGCUGUGUUCCUGCUGGUCCGCCAUGCCCUAGGCCUGCUUCCACAGCAUCUCAAUCCACUCUGCUCACUCUGCCUCCUCAAUACCCCUGUGAAGAAAGGAAGGAAGAGACCUCUGGCCGUUACUUGUUACAGAAGCAAGCAGGAUCAGAAUGGACGUGGUGGCUCAGUGCUGUAAUUCAGACACACGAAGGCUGAGGCAGGAGGACGAGGACGACCAUUCCAGUCUGGAGUAUGUAGCCAGACAGACCCUGUCAGAAGAGGAAGGAGAAAGAAGCAAGUAUGCACAGACUGGACUUCCUGCUGAAGUCUUCUGAGACAUGUGAGGGUACAGUUAGAGUGCCUGGCCCCACCUGAGAUCUUCAGAAUGCAGAACAUGGAACCCUCAUUUCACAUAUGCCACUGGUUUGCUUCUAACAUAGAAAUAAGUUCUAGCUGAGGCUUUGACCUAUUCCUGUAGUUGGCAUUUUCUUUGCGCGGCCACCUUUCCUUCAUUCUGUAUGCCUACUUUCCUGCUUUCUCAGUGUCUGGCUGACCCCUGCUGUCUCCCUGGCUUCUCCUUUUCUUUCUUCCCUUUCUCCCCAAGCCUAAGUUUCUCCUCCUGGUUACUCUCCUUGCCUAGAAGUCUCACCUAUACCUCCUCCUUUGCUAUUAGGCAUUCAGCUUUUUAUUAGACCAACCAGGUGCCUUAGGCAGGCAAGGUAAAACAGCAACAUAUCUUUGCAUAAUUAAAUAAACACAACACAUCUUUGCAUUGUUAAACAAAUAUUCUGCAACAUGUUUCUCCUUGAACACUCCAUUCCUGGGGCAACACCUCUGGUAGAGAAAGGAGUCUUUAGAGCUGUGCUUCCUGAACUAUUCUGAAUCAAGGUACUGGAGAGCUCAUUAAAAUGCAGAUCUCCAUUCAGUGAGUCAAACUGGGCUGGGGCCCUCUGCAUCACUGCAUCACCAAAAAGCUCCCUAAUGAUGCAGCGUUAACACCCAUGGACCAUAUUUGGAGCAGCAAGAACUGAGGACAGGACAUCUGUAGGUUUGAGAGAAUACCACAUGAAGCGAGGUCCAGCCUUGCUUUUGAAAAUUGUGUUUGCUAGUUGAGCAAAACCCUCUGCAAGCUGAUCACAAGUAAUGUGCUGUUCUAAUCAAAUAGGAAGCAUGAAAACUGGCUGACAUUUAGCAAUGUGUCAUCAAUAAUGCACUAUAUGGUGAUUAACCAUAACUACUAAGCAGGCCACAAAAUUGGCGUCAUUGACUCACAAAUGGCAUCUUCCACUUCCCUCUUGAUCUUGUUCCUCCAAUACAAGACAGCAUUGCACUUGAUGGUUUGAAUAACCUUAAAGUAUAAAUGACGUUGUAAUGGUAGUUUGUUUAUGAUAAGGGUGUUUAUGGUUUAGGAAAAUAAAAUAUUCUCUUUCUAAUAUGACAAACAGAAGGCUAGAAAGAAGGGAAUAGGGACCAAAGCUCAGAAACAUUAAGGAAAUGGAUUGGUAAACUCAUGAUCUCCUGGCUCUUUGAGUUUGUUACAAGCUCUCACUCUGAAGCCCAGGAAAGAUGGGAACUCUCCAUAGAGCCCAUGCUGGUCUUGAACUCACAGCAAUCCUCUUGCCUCAGUUUCCUAAGUGCUGGAAUUACAGACGCACAGCCCACCCCAUGCCCAGUUAGACUUGUGGCCUUUUAAUAUCAGGUAAAGGAAGAAAGGGCCCCUUUCCCUGAGAGCCGGUCUAGGACAAGGCUGUGUUGCUGGGUUAGCAGCUGAUAAAAGGGUGUAGCUGGCUGCAUAUGUAAGGUACAGCCUGCCAUUAAGAACUUCUUCCACUUGUCUGAUCUACUCACUGUCUACAUAUAGUCCAGUUAUUGACAUUGAAAUGUCUAGAAGAUUCUACUGACAUCUUUCCUGCUCAUUCUUUGGUUUCUUCUCCAUUCUUUCCAAUCAUAAUCAAUUUCGCAGACAGGAAAAACAUUUUAUAAGACCAGAGCUUAGCUUACUUGGGGAAGCAUUCAUCUUGCAAGUAUGUGGAUCUGAGUCUGGUCUCCAAAAUCCAAGCCUAACAUGCUGGUAUGUGCUCCUUACCCCAGUACCGGGGAUGCAAGCAACAGGCUGGUCCUGGGCUCAAUGCCCAGCCAGCCUAGCCUACAAGGCAAGAUUCAGGCCAGUAAGGGACUUUGUCACAGGGAGGAAACAUUAAAAAAAAAAGGAAAAGACAGAAGGACCUGAGGCUCUCUCUCUCUCUCUCUCUCUCUCUCUCUCUCUCUCUCUCUUGGUCUGGUCCUCAGGAUGAUAUUUGACCAACAAAAAUUUAAAUUUGACAGAGGUCGAAUAAAAACUCUUGAAGUGAGCUGUCAUUCCCCAGGAACUCCAGCUGUAUACACUGAGCUGUGAUACUGCACCUUCAGGCUCACUGGAUUCAAAUGAGCUUUCUGUCCACAGUGGGGCUAAGGGGAGCCUUUACAGCCUCCUGCUGCCCCCUUGUGGUAGGACUCAAAGUUGCUCUCCAACUUUUGGUGAGUUCUCUUCAACCCUAACAUUACGUUUGAAGACAGUAGUUGCCAUAAGGCCCUGGGAUUUCUGGGUGCAAGGGGACUGUAAAGUUUCUGACUCAGUUUCCAGGUGGACUAGUGACCACAUGGUGUUGGAAGUUUCAUUACUCUCAGUGCUACAGUCUACCUCAGUGAGCAAAUGGUGACUCCAGAGGCCUGGGAGAGAGGGAUGGAGGUCAGCGUUUUGCAGUGUGCUAUUUCAAUGCAAAAAGGUCAGUAUUGUGUGUUCGAACUAUGAUGAGACAACGGGGUGGGGCCCACUUGACUCAAAUCAGAUCUAGCCAGGAAAGUCAGACCCAGCAAAUUAUACCACAGACAAUUAUGCCUCCAAAUGAAAAAUUACAAUCGCAGGAGGGAGUAAUUAAGCUUUCCAAUUGCACAAUAUGCAAGUUUUUCCCUUACCCAUUUCCCUGAAUUAGCAGGUCUCCAUCCACUCAGCUUUUGGAGGCCAAGAGCUCUGGCUGGUUUUAAGGGAUAUCAACGUGAAUACAAGUAAAGCCAGCAAGUGGAAAUGAAUAAUGCUUCUUUCUAUUUACACUUCCAGAGGGCUCCACAGAAGCAGCCUGAGUUUCACAAUAUCAGGACACAAACCCAAAUGUGGGCUCAAGGCAAAGGGAAGAAUCUAGAUACUUUCUGGCCGAACAACCAGGCCACACCAGAGCUAACUCGGGUGUUUGCAGUUGUAGCCACUGGAAAGAGAUAAGAAGUUUCUAGAACAUUAAUAGUAGUAUGAUUUACUCGUAAUUGCAGACAGAGUACAUGGAAGAGACUAUUAGUAGGAUGUCAUUGGCCAUGGGACUGAGGAGAAAAUUGCAGGAAGCAACAUGAGUCCCACCAAGGAUCCUGAGCUUCUUGGGGAGACUCUUACACCUGAGGGAAAAGAGAUCCGCAGAGUUCCAUGGGUGCUUGUCCUGUGUAGCCACUGUCCUCCUCCAGGCAGCUUCCUUCUCAUGGUCCCUACCACCACUCUUCACCUCUACCUUAGAAAGUGUCCCUGUGGGGCUUUUCCUUCCAACUGUGGCCUUAUGAAUGAUGUGUGUGGAAACCCCACCCCCCCACACACACACCUGUCACACACUAGUACAGACUAUACCGCACAUUAAUAUGGUUGGGUGGCCUCUGAACGUUUUGUUUAUUAAAAACCAUUUGAAGUAAUGCAUUUCAGGUGGGAGUUCACUACAGAAAAACAAUAAGGAAUCUACCUUCCAGACGUCUCUAAUCUGCAGGGAGGCAAGGAGGAACCCAAGGCAGUGUCAGGAGGGAGCGGGAGGCACAUACGGGGCCUUAGCUUCAGGUUUGGUUUGUCUGUCUUCCCAGCUCUUCCCAAACCCUUUGCUCUUUCCAAAGUAGUGCACAGAAACAUGAGUGCUUCCUUCCGCUGAUCCUCUAAAGGUAGACAUGGCAAUGAGUCGGGUCAGCCCAAGAGAUAAAUCACAUCAUCUGGGAGCUUCCAAAGGUUUCAAUUUUAAUAUUUUUAAAGGGAAAAAAAUGUGUACAGCCUAUGUUUGGAGCCCAAGGCUGCUGUAGCCAUAUUGUGACCAUGGGGUAAACACUGAAAAAGAUGCAAAUAGAGCAGCUUUUAGCAUCAUUUAGUCAUUAGAGUAAUAUUCGAGGCUGCGUCUGUUUGUGCGUAUCAUAGACAUGUAAGUCAGGGUUUCCCAGCUAGCAUCAGAACACCAUCCCAACUAGCAAAAUGACACAGGAGCUACUCACUCACACUGAAAGGUAGGGCAGGAUUGCUUUCCAGGAAGCAUUGUUAGUCCUGACAUUCCCACUCAAUCUUAGAAGCUGAAUCAGCCACAGGGAGGAAAGAAGCAUGAUGGGAGUCUCCCCUACAGGCACAAAGGGACAAGGCUCAUUUUGGCAACAGGCAAGAGCCUUGGAGGGACAUGAAGCUAGAAACCAUACACACCAGAUCACGAAGUACCAUCCACACAUCCAGUCUGAGCCAAUAACAGGAAUUAGAACUUGACUAUGAAGGCAUGGGGUGAAUUUUUGAAGAUUUCAAGUUGAGAAGCAAGUAAUCAGAUGGGUGCCACAGAAUGCUAGGUAUUACUUCUAGGGAUUUGUAUUCAACUCCUAACUUUAUAAUAGUGAAAAUCCAGAAACAAUCUAAAUUUGAUCAAUAGGACACAAGGAGGUGAAUGAUGUCACUUUUCUAGAAUGGGAUAUUUUUGUAACCAUAUUUUGAGUUAUAUAUCAUUAUGCUUGUGGCUCAUCUAAAAAGAAGAAGCAUGAUACAAGACUACAUGACAUACAAAUCUCAUUUUGUCUAGGAGAAAAAUCCAUAGGGAAGAGACCCACAUUUAAAAAAGAACAAAACAUGAUGUUGCAAUUGCGAUUCUUGCAAAGUGGUGAAAAAACCCACUGAUUUUAUAAUUUUCUAUUUUAAGUUUUAUUUUCCUAAUUUACUACAUGAGAACUUUUAAAACCUGGGAUUUUUUUGCCUAAAAUCAUAAUAGUGGCAGCUGGGUGGGGGGUAUCUAAAGCCAGAAAAUUCAGGUCAUUAUUGUUUGUCAAGCUUUACUUCUCAGCCUUUGUGCUGAGCAAACCAGACUCAACUGCACCCGGCUUCCCAGUGCCUAUCUAUGGUCCCCAAGAGAUUUUUUAUCCUCUUUUGUAGCUAAUGUUUUAAGUUAUCAUUAAGAGCAAUGGGCUUCGUCGUGUCAUCUUUUUACCUAUGUGUCAUAUUCUGGUCUCAUUCACCCCCUUCUUUAACUGCCCUCCCUCUCCUCCCUCAUCUCCUCUGUCUAGUUUUCUUCCUUCUAAUUAAUCAUCUCUUCUGCAUGCACCUAUGUACACCAUAUCUCUCAAACCUUCCUGAAGAUCUCCCUCCCUUUCAUGAUCCUCUUCCUAGUUUUAACACACACACACACACACACACACACACACACACACACACCACUAGCUUCCACAGACAAGAGAAAACAUACAGUGUUUGUCAUUUUCAGUUCAGCUUAUUUCAUUUAACAUAAUGAUUUUCCAGUUGCAUCAUUUUCUGGAAAGCGUCAUGAUCUCAUUUACGGCUGUGAAAAAUUCACUGUGCAUAUGUGCCAACAUCUUUCUAUCCAUGCCUGUGUUGAUGACCAUCUAAAUUGGUUCCAUUUCCUACGUUUAUUGUGAAGCAAUAAAAAUGUAUGUGAAAAUA